rnacentral:rRNA from 1 species
ACAGGGCAUUGCCUCAGUAACGGCGAGUGAAGCGGCAACAGCUCAAAUUUGAAAUCUGGUCCCCUCUGGGGGCCCGAGUUGUAAUUUGAAGAGGAUGCUUUUGGCGAGGCGCCUUCCGAGUGCCCUGGAACGGGACGCCACAGAGGGUGAGAGCCCCGUAUGGUAGGACGCCGAGCCUCUGUAAAGCUCCUUCGACGAGUCGAGUAGUUUGGGAAUGCUGCUCAAAAUGGGAGGUAAACCCCUUCUAAAGCUAAAUAUUGGCCAGAGACCGAUAGCGCACAAGUAGAGUGAUCGAAAGAUGAAAAGCACUUUGAAAAGAGAGUUAAACAGCACGUGAAAUUGUUGAAAGGGAAGCGCUUGCGACCAGACUUGCGCCCGUCGGAUCAACCGUCCCUCGUGGGCGGCGCACUCCGGCGGGCUCAGGCCAGCAUCAGUUUUCCUGGGGGUAGAAAGGCGGUGGGAAUGUAGCUCUUCGGAGUGUUAUAGCCCGCCGCGUAAUGCCCUCGGGGGGACUGAGGACCGCGCGUAUGCAAGGAUGCUGGCGUAAUGGUCGUCAGCGACCCGUCUUGAAACACGGACCAAGGAGUCGUCCUAAUAUGCGAGUGUACGGGUGUAAAACCCCUGCGCGUAAUGAAAGUGAACGGAGGUGAGAGCUUCGGCGCAUCAUCGACCGAUCCUGAUGUUCUCGGAUGGAUUUGAGUAAGAGCAUAUUGGGCCGGACCCGAAAGAAGGUGAACUAUGCCUGUAUAGGGUGAAGCCAGAGGAAACUCUGGUGGAGGCUCGCAGCGGUUCUGACGUGCAAAUCGAUCGUCAAAUAUGGGCAUGGGGGCGAAAGACUAAUCGAACCU